rnacentral:piRNA from 1 species
UAGCUUUCUGAGACAAGACUACACCUUAUUC